UACAGAGGUCUCGAGCGUUAGGCGGAAUCACUGGGCGUAAAGCGUGCGCAGGCGGUUCGCUAAGACAGAUGUGAAAUCCCCGGGCUUAACCUGGGAACUGCAUUUGUGACUGGCGGGCUAGAGUAUGGCAGAGGGGGGUAGAAUUCCACGUGUAGCAGUGAAAUGCGUAGAGAUGUGGAGGAAUACCGAUGGCGAAGGCAGCCCCCUGGGCCAAUACUGACGCUCAUGCACGAAAGCGUGGGGAGCAAACAGG
rnacentral:rRNA from 1 species